GACGAACGCUGGCGGCGUGCUUAACACAUGCAAGUCGAACGGAAAGGCCCUGCUUUUGUGGGGUGCUCGAGUGGCGAACGGGUGAGUAACACGUGAGUAACCUGCCCUUGACUUUGGGAUAACUUCAGGAAACUGGGGCUAAUACCGGAUAGGAGCUCCUGCUGCAUGGUGGGGGUUGGAAAGUUUCGGCGGUUGGGGAUGGACUCGCGGCUUAUCAGCUUGUUGGUGGGGUAGUGACUUACCAAGGCUUUGACGGGUAGCCGGCCUGAGAGGGUGACCGGCCACAUUGGGACUGAGAUACGGCCCAGACUCCUACGGGAGGCAGCAGUGGGGAAUAUUGCACAAUGGGCGGAAGCCUGAUGCAGCAACGCCGCGUGCGGGAUGACGGCCUUCGGGUUGUAAACCGCUUUCGCCUGUGACGAAGCGUGAGUGACGGUAAUGGGUAAAGAAGCACGGGCUAACUACGUG
rnacentral:rRNA from 1 species